GACGACGCUGGCGGCGUGGAUUAGGCAUGCAAGUCGAACGGUAUCAUCCUUCGGGGGUGAGAGAGUGGCGAACUGGUGAGUAACACGUAGGUUAUCUACCCUCAAGACGGGGACAACCCAGGGGAAACUUGGGCUAAUACCGGAUGUGAGCAACUUUUAGUUGUUUGAAAGGUGGCGUAAGCUGUCGCUUGGGGAUGAGCCUGCGUCCUAUUAGUUAGUUGGUGAGGUAACGGCUCACCUAGGCAAUGAUAGGUAGGCGGCCUUAACGGGUGGUCGCCCACACUGGGAUUGAGAUACGGCCCAGACUCCUACGGGAGGCAGCAGUCGAGAAUAGUCUACAAUGGUCGGAAGACUGAUAGUGCGACGCCGCGUGAACGAUGAAUCCCUUCGGGGUGUAAAGUUCUUUUAUAUGUGAGCAGUGCUUCUUAUAUUAACAGUAUGGGGAGAGAGAUAUUAGCAUAUGAAUAAGCAACGGCUAACUCCGUG
rnacentral:rRNA from 1 species